AUUAUUAAUAGUAGUUUAUGUGACUGCUACAUAAUGAAAGGCAUUAAAAUACGAGUGUGGGUUUAUGAAACGAAUGAAAUGAGUUUCAUAAUAGUAUCACACGAGUGUUUUAAUGCCUAAUUAUGUACAGUUACAUACACUGCUUUAUCUACACACAUAUUAUAAACUUUCUAUGAUAUAUUCACUAACCUCAUAUUACAGCCGACAUUAGGGCACUUUCCUUUCUGGCGGAACUCGCGGAUAUGAGGUGGCGUCUCCGAAAUAUCUUUAUCGCACAUUUUACACGAAACUUUUGUUAUAGUUACUUUAAAAACAACGAAACAAAUUAUUUUUUACUUAAAAACUAAUUAUACUAUAAACUGUACGUCAAAUGGCGGCAAAUGAAAACUUUUUUCACGCACGUCACGCAUCUGUAGUUUUUUUUAAUUCAGAGACAAACUAGAGUCGGGGUCGAUUACCAUAUCGUCCGAAACCAACUUACAUGCGAGAUUUGUCAAUAUUGUAUGCAAUUGUCAUUUGAUUUCGAAUAAAACGUCAUCUCGACUGAUAUUAGAAUAGGGGUCAAAUCAAAUUGCUUUUUUUUUCAGAGAUGUUCGAAAUUUGAAUGCAUUACCAAAUCGAUUUUGAUAUAGUAAUGAAGCUAUUACCACAUUUUCACAGAUAAGAAAUUUGCUGUAACAAAACAGUUUAUCGUAAUGGGGGCCAUUAUUUACGGAUUUUGUAGGCAUCAUAGAGAGUUUAUGAUAUGUGUAAUAUGACAAAUUGGAAAUGAUACAUUAUUUUAGUGAUGGUGCAGCUGCACAAUAUAAGAACAAAAAGAAUUUUGUAAACUUGUGUCAUCAUUACGAUGACUUCGGACUAAAAGCAGGGUGGAACUUUUUUGCCACCUCUCACGGCAAAUCCCCCUGUGAUGGUGCUGGCGGCACGAUUAAGCGGUUGAUUAGAAAAGCUAGUCUGCAACGCAUCACAGGUAGUGAUAACAUUUUGUCACCUGAAGCUAUGUACGAGUUUUGUGUGAAUAAAAUUCAUGGGAUCAAGUUCUUUUUUGGUCUCAAAAUCAGAUGUCGAAGAAGCUGAGGUAUAUCUAUCAGAACGAUUUAAAAAUAUAAGGACCAUAAAAAAUACACGUUCUUAUCAUAGCUUCGUUCCCAUUUCUCAAAAUGAAUUAAAAGUGCGACGUUAUUCAACUUCAGAAAAUUUUGAAGUAGCAAAGGUUUGCAAAUGAUUUUUUUUUUGUAUAAAUAUUUAAAGUAAAUUUCAAUCGUCUGGAUUUUAUUUAUAUUUUUCCAUCGAAUUCAUUCAUAUUUAUAAGU